GACAGAGGAUGCAAGCGUUAUCCGGAAUGAUUGGGCGUAAAGCGUCUGUAGGUGGUUUAGAAAGUCUACUGUCAAAUACCAAGGCUCAACCUUGGGCAGGCAGUAGAGUACUUUUAGACUAGAGUGUGGUAGAGGUAGAGGGAAUCCCUAGCGUAACAGUGAAAUGUGUAGAUUUUAGGGAAGAACACCAGCGGCGAAGGCGUCUACUGGGCCAAGACUGACACUGAGAGACGAAAGCUAGGGGGAAACGAAAUGGG
rnacentral:rRNA from 1 species